rnacentral:misc_RNA from 1 species
CCUUUUCUCUAAUACUCUUAUUACCGACUUUAUCUAGUUUAGUCAGUGCUGUUAAAGGCAAGAGGAGGUGCUAGGCGAGGCGAGGCGAGGCGAGGAGAGGCGAAGCUCCAGCGACUCCCCAGGCCAAGGCGAGGCCACUGAAACAAGGCAGACGCCCCGGACCUGAAAGGCGAUAGGCGACAAGGCCUCGAGGCGCUGCCUUGUGAAAGAAACAGA